UGAAAUACUUCUCCAUCGGACGGCUACAUUCUGCACAUACGACCAUUUCCGGUAUUCCGCCUGUAAUUCCGGGGAGAAUUAGACGAUUACAAUGCUGCGGGGUGUGGAGUUGAGCCAGAUUAUCAUCCAGAGCAGGCAAAUGUGUGCUUUGGAAUACCUGAUGACUGCUGGAUCAAGUAUUGAAGGAUGGUGAACAGUAUACCAGAACAUCUUUUCUUGAAGGUAAAUAAACUUGUUUUGGUUUGCAUCGGUCCAUGGGUUCUUUCUGUUGACUAUUGGAAGCCACACGAUUUCGUAUUGCAGAAGCUCUGGCCUUUGCUUUGAUUGUUGGUAGAUGUGGCCUAGUAUCAUCAUCUCUUCCUCGCAUAUGUCCAGUCAUUUAUAUGGAAAGGAAUUUGUGGCCAGACAGACAUACUUUCAUGGAGUUUCCAUCCACAAGUGGAAGAAGAUCAUCCUUGGCAUAAAUAAGUGCUUUCAAAAUCUUGAUGUUGUCUAUGUGGCUUGUCUCGAACAGGCGGAUCAGAUUCUGGGCCAUAUAUAAUGUGUAGAGAUGUACAUAAACUUACUCAAAACUCAUGCCUAAGAGGCUAGUGAUCUGAGAUGCACAUGCCACCAUGCUUCUGAUGGUCCAAUAGGCUGUUGUAGGAAUAUGAGUCAUGGCUGUCGAGAGAGGUGGGACUUCUUGAGAAAUAUAUUGAGGGGGGAGCUCCCUGAACUCAGUUAUGCACUUAGUCACAUCCAACAUGGCCUUGAUAAGAGUAUUAACUGAAUCAAAUCUGGGUUUCAAGGAACUCGCAUGCUCUACGAUGUCUGGUAAUUGCUUCAGAAGAGCCACGGAUUUUGCUAGAGGGUUUGUGGCUCCAAGUAAUGCCACGAGCCAAAACUCACCGUAAUUCACUGAAAAGGCUGCUAGUGAAAUAACCACUUUUGCUUCCCAAGGAUAAGUUGAAAGCAAGUUCAGUAUCGAGAUUGUUGUCCCAUGAGCAUCUCCACCACCUGAGCACUUGCAUGACAACUGCCCAUGCAUAAAUAAAUGUUAACUAAGCUUUUUUCUUUUAAAAUGAUAUGAUUGAGAAUAAUUAUAUUUAUUAUGAUAUUAUUGCCAUGUGUUAAUUGUUAUUGUAUCUUAUAAAAUGAUCUCUAUUAUUUCGGUUAAUAGUAUUUUCAA